CGACGACGAGGACACCGGACACGUUUUCGUCGACAUGGCUACCGUGCUCGCUACCAAGGAACGUAAGAGAGGAAGAAUGAGGAGCUGACUAAGACGAGGCCUGCCAACGAAAAAGUCGUCACAAUCGAUGAGUAACGUCACGUUACUGUGGGCGAUUCUCGUGCAAUAGCCAGCCCACCUUUUUUUUACGGGUUUUCAAUUUGCACGAAGGCAAUUCCAUCGAGAAAUAUCAGGAAAAAUGGAGAACGAACGAGAAAGAGAGAGAGAGAGAGAGAGAGAGAGAGUCAUCUUGUGUUACUAUCACC